CCCGACGUUGAGCAGUCUGGCUAUGCUCGGCAGGCUCAUAUCCUGUUGUGCUUCGCACGAAAUGGGUUCGAAUCCCAUCGUCGGAA
rnacentral:tRNA from 1 species